GGCCGCAGUAUUUUAACUGUGCAAAGGUAGCAUAAUCAUUAGUUUUUUAAUUGAGAACUAGUAUGAAUGGUUGGACGAAAAAUUAUCUGUUUCAUUUAAAUUUAUUAUAGAAUUUUAUUUUUUAGUUAAAAAGCUAAAAUUUUUAUAAAAGACGAGAAGACCCUAUAAAUCUUUAUAAUUAUUUAAAUAAAUAAUAAUUUGAAUAUUCAUUUUUUAUUUUUUAUAUUAUUUUAUUGGGGUGAUAUUAAAAUUUAAUAAACUUUUAAUAUUUAUUUUUACAUUAAUUUAUGAUUUAUUGAUCCAUUAUUAUUGAUUAAAAGAACAAGUUACUUUAGGGAUAACAGCGUUAUUUUUUUUAAGAGUUCUUAUUUAUAAAAAAGAUUGCGACCUCGAUGUUGGAUU
rnacentral:rRNA from 1 species